AAGGAUAAUGUUGCUUUAGCAACGGCCCGAAGGGCGAGGCAAAGCCGAGUCAUCCUGCACGACCCACCA
rnacentral:sRNA from 2 species